rnacentral:rRNA from 1 species
CCUACGGGGGGCAGCAGUGAGGAAUAUUGGUCAAUGGGCGCUAGCCUGAACCAGCCAAGUAGCGUGAAGGAUGACUGCCCUAUGGGUUGUAAACUUCUUUUAUAUGGGAAUAAAGUGCAGUAUGUAUACUGCUUUGCAUGUACCUUAUGAAUAAGGAUCGGCUAACUCCGUGCCAGCAGCCGCGGUAAUACGGAGGAUUCGAGCGUUAUCCGGAUUUAUUGGGUUUAAAGGGAGCGUAGGCGGGUUGUUAAGUCAGUUGUGAAAGUUUGCGGCUCAACCGUAAAAUUGCAGUUGAUACUGGCAGCCUUGAGUACAGUAGAGGUAGGCGGAAUUCGUGGUGUAGCGGUGAAAUGCUUAGAUAUCACGAAGAACUCCGAUUGCGAAGGCAGCCUGCUGGACUGUAACUGACGCUGAUGCUCGAAAGUGUGGGUAUCAAACAGGAUUAGAUACCCCAGUAGUC